rfam:Tolumonas auensis DSM 9187, complete genome.
GGGGCCAUAGCUCAGCUGGGAGAGCGCCUGCUUUGCACGCAGGAGGUCUGCGGUUCGAUCCCGCAUGGCUCCA